rnacentral:lncRNA from 1 species
AUGCGCGGGGCCCCGGGCGCCGGGGGUGGGGGUGGGGGUGGGGGUGGGGGCCGACGAGGCGGCCGGGCCCGCGACCCUCCCGGAAGCCGCGGCCGGGGCGGGGCGGGGCCGCCUUUCCGCCGGAGGGUCGGGGGCGCGGGGGGGCGGGGACGCCAGGCCGGAAGCGCCCGCCGCGGGGCCUCACCUGCGCGCACCUGGGCCCGCCCGCGCCGCGGGCUCCGAGGGACGCGGGGCCGCCUCGGGGGCGCACCCCCGGCCCGCCCCGCCCCGCCCCAGCCCCCGCCCCCGCCCCCGCCGGGCGGCGGCCCCGGCGCUCCCCCCGCGCCUGGCCCGGCCGCGCUCGCCCCGCCCGCCGCCGCCCCCAGCCCGCCGCCCGCGCGCGCCCCGGGGAAGAGAGGGGAGGGCGGGGGCCAGGGGCGGGCGCGGCCGGGGAGGCGGCGGGCGGGCGCGGGCCGGGCCGGGGCCGGGGCCGGGGGCGGGGCGGGCGGGCGGGCGCGGGCGGCGGCGGCGCCCCCUCCCGGACCUACCGGCGGCCGCGCUCCGGAAGCCGUGCCCGGUGGCUGGGCAUCAUGGGAAUGGCACGGCCGAGUUCCGGGGGAGGCGCGCGGCCCGCCGGACCCCCGCCCGCGAGCGCGCGCCCACCUGCCGGCCCCUGCGGGGCGCCCCCGCCCGCGCCCGCGCCCCCGCCCCGCGCCCCCCGAGGCCCCCCGCGCCCCGCGUCCCCCGAGGCCCCCCGCGCCCCCCGCGGCCCCCGCGGCCCCCGCCCCCGCGCGCCCAGCCUGGCUCGGGCCGGGGCGUCCCCGCGCCUGGGAGUUCGGGGUGGCUGACGUGGGGCCCCCGCCCGCCCUGCCGGAGGCGGGACCGACCCUGGGGGCCCGCCCUGUCCCCGGGGUGCCGGCGCGGCGGGGGCGCGCCCGGGGAGCGCGGGAGGUGGGGAGCCGGAGGGGCUGCGGCCCUGCCCGGUGCCGCGACCACCAGGCUGCAGCGCUCCUAGAAGUGCCCCGUGAGGUCCCGCCCGUGCGCGGCUCCGAGCCCGGCGCGGUCCUCCCGCCGGGGUGUGCGCCGAGCUCCGCGCCGAGCCCGCCCGCGGGCCUGGCCGGGCCGGGCCGCAGCCGCGCGCUCCCAGCCCCGCACGCCCCGGGCCGCUGCUCUGCUCCGGGGAAGCUGACCAGGCCGCCAGCCUCCUGGGCCUUUAGUUGCGGCCAUUGCUUCCCGGCCUGCGCGCUCCCUCGCCCCAGAGUAAGACGUCGGGACCCCAGGAGGGGACAGGGUCCUCGACGCACCUAA